rnacentral:rRNA from 1 species
UACGUAGGGUGCAAGCGUUUGUCCGGAAUUAUUGGGCGUAAAGGGCUCGUAGGCGGUGUGUCGCGUCGGCCGUGAAAACCUGCAGCUUAACUGUGGGCUUGCGGUCGAUACGGGCAUCACUGGAGUUCGGCAGGGGAGACUGGAAUUCCUGGUGUAGCGGUGAAAUGCGCAGAUAUCAGGAGGAACACCGGUGGCGAAGGCGGGUCUCUGGGCCGAUACUGACGCUGAGGAGCGAAAGCGUGGGGAGCGAACAGG